rnacentral:rRNA from 1 species
CGAGCAAGGAUGAAAAUCGGACUUAGUGAUCCGGUGGUUCUGCGUGGAAGGGCCAUCGCUCAACGGAUAAAAGCUACCCUGGGGAUAACAGGCUUAUCUCCCCCAAGAGUCCACAUCGACGGGGAGGUUUGGCACCUCGAUGUCGGCUCAUCACAUCCUGGGGCUGUAGUAGGUCCCAAGGGUUGGGCUGUUCGCCCAUUAAAGUGGUACGCGAGCUGGGUUCAGAACGUCGUGAGACAGUUCGGUCCCUAUCCGUCGCAGGCGUAGGAAAUUUGAGAAGACCUGUCCUUAGUACGAGAGGACCGGGAUGGACGUACCUCUGGUGUACCAGUUGUCCUGCCAAGGGCAUGGCUGGGUAGCUAUGUACGGAAUGGAUAAGCGCUGAAAGCAUCUAAGCGCGAAGCCAACUUCAAGAUAAGAUUUCCCACCGCAAGGGUAAGACCCCAGAAAGACUAUCUGGUUGAUAGGUCGAAGGUGUAAGUGCAGCAAUGUAUUUAGCUUAUCGAUACUAAUAGGUCGAGGACUUGACCAA